GUUUAUCUACUGAGGUAGUUUUGCUUUUGGUUUCACAAGGAAAACUUCACUGGUAUUCGCACAACUAUACAAAGACAAUAAAUGAAACCCCAAAAGCAGAAAAAUGCAAAAGUACAAAAAAGGAAUACUUUUGGACAUAUUCAUGGAAAGAGCGAGAAGGAUAACAUGCAGUCUGAUACAGAUCACAGGAGUGACAUGAGAGGGGCACAUGAUUUGGAGCUGAGUUUGGUCCUAGGACUUGUGACAUUUAGUGUUUAUUUCACCACUUUGUACCCAUCAUUACCAGGAGGUGACUCAGG